GAUGAACGCUGGCGGCGUGCUUAACACAUGCCAGUCGAACGGAAAGGCCCAAGCUUGCUUGGGUACUCGGGUGGCGAACGGGUGAGUAACACGUGGGUGAUCUGCCCUGCACUUCGGGAUAAGCCUGGGAAACUGGGUCUAAUACCGGAUAGGACGAUGGUUUGGAUGCCAUUGUGGAAAGUUUUUUCGGUGUGGGAUGAGCUCGCGGCCUAUCAGCUUGUUGGUGGGGUAAUGGCCUACCAAGGCGUCGACGGGUAGCCGGCCUGAGAGGGUGUACGGCCACAUUGGGACUGAGAUACGGCCCAGACUCCUACGGGAGGCAGCAGUGGGGAAUAUUGCACAAUGGGCGCAGGCCUGAUGCAGCGACGCCGCGUGGGGGAUGACGGCCUUCGGGUUGUAAACUCCUUUCGCUAGGGACGAAGCGUUUUUGUGACGGUACCUGGAGAAGAAGCACCGGCUAACUACGUG
rnacentral:rRNA from 1 species